AAGAAUUUAUGGAAAAAAGGAAGGGCCAGCAACCUAGCGAGAAAAUGCCAUCAGCGUACCUGGUGAAAUUGGAAGCAAUAUAUCAUAUGUGCAUCAGUUGGACUAUUAUUGGUGCUUUCAUCUGCGUGAUCUUUCAAGUCGCUCCUGUUAUCUCCUGUCUGAGAAGACUUUAUCCUCUGCUUU